UAAACUUGUUCGAGCCCCCGUACAUACAUUUUUUUUUAAUAACUACUGUGUAUCCGGAUCAAUUUGUGCGCACCUCGAUUAAUGUAUCAAGUAUCUGUUACCUCCCACAUACUACCGACUAGUUCUGCCCCUAUAAAUUCAUACCUCUCACUUCUCUUUUACACACACAAUAUUAGCAACAAUGGCAAAGGCCCUUGUUCUUUUUCAGCUUUCAGUUUUAUUACUUAGCUCAUUCACAGUAGUUCUUAGCCAGGAGGAAGACAUUGGGGGUUGGUUUACCACCAAACAUCAUGACCACCUUUCACCAGCUCAAGCUCCUAAGCCUCACAAAGGCCACCACCACCCCAAACAUUCCCCAGCCCCUUCACCAACUAAGCCUCCCACUUAUAGCCCAUCGAAACCACCAGUUAAACCACCGGUUAAACCACCAACUAAGGCUCCCACUUAUAGCCCAUCAAAACCACCAGCUAAGCCACCAGUUAAACCACCAACACCAACACCAUCACCUUAUCCUGCUCCUGCUCCUAUUACUAGGAAACCUGUAGCAGUCCGUGGCCUUGUUUACUGCAAGCCGUGCAAGUUUAGAGGGGUUAAAACUCUAAACCAAGCUUCCCCACUCCUGG
rnacentral:lncRNA from 1 species